GUGUUGCUAAACCUACACUAGAAUACUCAAUAACACCAGUUGUAGUAAUAUUCAAACAUUCAUUUUCACUUCUACUAGUAGGCUGGUUUUCAGGCUGAAGUUCUUCAUGCACCAUUGAAGAGAGAGUAAAUUCUCCAUUUUCCUGUGUGAAAUCGUCCCAAUCAUCCAAACCAAAGGCUAUUGCCGAACCCAUAACCAACUUAUU
rnacentral:misc_RNA from 1 species